rnacentral:lncRNA from 1 species
CUCAUCACUUUAUUACUAUCUCGCAAAUUUUGCGUCAUUUAUACAACACUCAACUGAGGUAAUUUUUUAUAUCACUUAAACGAAAGAAACAUAUUCAUUAUUAAAAAAAAACAAGUGUAAAUGUUAAUUUGAAAAAUAAUAUAAUGUUCAAAAAUCUAACAUCAAAUAUCAGAAUCUAAAUUUAUCUAGCCAUGAAAGAAUGUAGAUGUCGUAAGUGAUGACAUUCAACACUGUUAUGUCUUUCCCUUGCUCUUCCUUGUUGCAUUCUUCUCUUUUCCUACAUAAAUUCAACAAAAUAAAUUAUACUAUUCCAUACCUAUACUAAGUAAAUUAAUUAAAAAAGUAUUUGAAACUAUGAAUCAAGAGAUAUAAUUUCAUUUUCCGAAAAUACGAGCAAAUAUUAUUUAAUAAAAAUCACGAAAGAAUGUCUAAGUCUAUAAUCUCAACUCGUUGAUGUUGAACAUUCAACAUUCUGCUGAUGUUCAAAACUAUUAAAUGGGAUAUUCGAGUAUCAACAAGUUUUCCUAACAUUAUACAACAUAUAAUAUAACUUUGUGAAUGUCAAUCACUCCACCUAAAACUCAAACAAGUGAAGUACUAAAACCUGAAAGGAAAUUAACAAUCGCCACAGAUCUUCAUCAUAGGAAAAUUGAGAUAAUUUAAAAUCUAAUGUUAGGGCUUAAAAGUAACCAUGGUUUUCAACUAGAAAUUUGGCUCCAAAGCUAUAGGGUUAAUCUCAGAAUGAUCUACUAGGAUCAUCCAGUAACUAAUAAUUUAAACAUUGUAUUUUGACUCCAAAGUCCUAUUGUUUGACUACGCUAAAAAACAUUUAUUGUGUGACAUACCAUGUUUGAAAGGACUCUCCAUCCCUUCGUUCCCAAAAGACAUAUUCCUAGAAAAGAACAAUAAAAACAUUUUCACAUAAAGCAACAGGGAAGGGGCAGGAUGAGGAAUUGGUUAAAAGGGGAUAUGAAGUUCUGAAAUCACACAAGAAUUAAUUUAAGAGCGUCAAAGAAGCACAAACAUAAUAUAUUUGGUUUCUCUUCUUUCUUUUGUGAGUUGAGAUAUUCCUCAUCUGACAAGCUUUUCCCUGCAACAGAAUAUAAAGAGAACAUACUUAAUAUUCUUCUUUAUAAUUUGGGUAACAUAAAUAAAGGAACACAAAAAUAGAUUUUUAGCCAAUCAAUUUUGUUUGCAUGUAGCUUCAGCAUCUCCAAUUGUUGAAAACUACAACAUACAACCAUUUGCAGAGUAUGGUUGUAUGAGUAAACAUAGAAACUCAUGUAAGGAAACAACUCAUAGCAAUAACAUAUGGAACUUUUAUGUUUGUAACCUAUUUACACUUUAUAGAAUAUGCCCAUAUGCCAGCAUUAGCCACCACAUUUAACUAUGUGAAUAAAGUAUCAGCAAGUGUGCUCUAUGUUUCCGCAAAUUCAAUUUUUGAUUUUGGAAUACAUUUUGACAAUGAUUUUUCUUGUUAAGAAAUAUGGAUAUUAAUGUAAGUAUACAAGAAGUCUAAAUUUUCACAUAAAGUUGGUUUCAAGAUUCAUAAUAAUUAACUAAUCUUGCACCAAACUUUCACUUAACAAAAAAAUUAAAAUAGUGGAGCAAAACCCACCGGUCGUGAACAAGAAAUAGUAGUUGGGAGAACAGUGUCGGUGCUGGUUACAUGAUCAGCAAAAAAGAAUCAAUAAAUUCAAUUCCAUAAAUUAAGCAAACUAACAGUAACAAUCAAUUUCCUAAAUGAUUCACACAAAAAAAAAAAUAAACACAUACACAGAAAAUUCAAGAUAGCCGCUUUCUACACACAUGUUGCUGGUUAAAGUAGAAGUCAGCGAGCAACAUAAUAAACUCACUGCGUGAAGGUGGCGACGGCGCGAGUCAGCCAGGGACAUGUGUAGGGCGACGAAGGUGCAAAGAGCGGCGCUGCUAUCGGCGACAAAGGUGCAAAGAGCGUUGCUGCUAGCGGCGACGUAAUGAAAUGCAAUCGGACGCGUUGUGGUUGAUGAACGAGAGAAUCUGAAAGGAGAGGAGUGAAAGAGAGGGUGGUGACAUCGCUGAGGUUAGGGAGAGUCGAGGGUUUUGAAUGGAGAAGAGGAUUUUUGGGUUUAGGUUUGGGAAUGUAAGUUUUUUUUUUCGAAUUGUAAUGUAAAUUUGCUGCGUUUUUGUUCUAUAAGUGUAAUUAUUGGUAUUUUUUUUCACUCCUAAUCUAAUUUUUUU